GAAACUUUUCACUUAUGGAUUUUGUUUUUCCAAAUUGCUUAAACGUACCAUGAAUAAGAAUAUAAGGCUUCAUUACAGUUGCUAGGCAAGUCUACCGCUGGCCGCACUGCCAUUGAGCAACUUUACAUCGAGCGCAUAGUUUGGGUCUGGUGAUGUUGGGCAAAGAGGAAGCAUAGGAUAAGAGGUUUGGAGGAGGCCAUUAUUACAGUGAGGAUUUGGAAGAAAGGGAGAGCUGAGAGAGAAGGAGAUGGGUUGGGUGGGUGAGGAAGAGACAGAAAUGAUGGAUAACUGAAGGUGAGAGGAGAAUAGCGUA
rnacentral:misc_RNA from 1 species